UUCGCAAUGCCCGAAAGGGUGACGAUGCGACGCCGCGUGAGCGAAGAAGGCCCUAGGGUUGUAAAGCUCUGUCAGGGGUUAAGAAAUGUAGAUAGGUUAAUACCCUGUUUAUUUGACAAAAGCCCCAAAGGAAGCCACGGCUAACUCUGUGCCAGCAGCCGCGGUAAUACAGAGGUGGCAAGCGUUGUUCGGUAUUAUUGGGCGUAAAGAGCACGUAGGUGGUUUUGUAAGUCAGAUGUGAAAGCCUUCUGUUCAAAGGACGAACGGCAUCUGAAACUGCUGAUCUUGAGUGUAGGAGGGGAGAGCGGAACUUCUGGUGGAGCGGUGAAAUGCGUAGAUAUCAGAAGGAACGUCGGCGGCGAAAGCGACUCUCUGGCCUAUUACUGACACUGAGUGUGCGAAAGUUAGGGGAGCAAACGGGAUUAGAUACCCCGGUAGUCCUAACCGUAAACGAUGGGCACUAAGUAGAGGGGUUUU
rnacentral:rRNA from 1 species